rnacentral:rRNA from 1 species
AAUUUUGGACAAUGGGGGAAACCCUGAUCCAGCCAUCCCGCGUGUGUGAAGAAGGUCUUCGGAUUGUAAAGCACUUUAAGUUGGGAGGAAGGGCAGUAAGUUAAUACCUUGCUGUUUUGACGUUACCGACAGAAUAAGCACCGGCUAACUUCGUGCCAGCAGCCGCGGUAAUACGAAGGGUGCAAGCGUUAAUCGGAAUUACUGGGCGUAAAGCGCGCGGAGGUGGUUUGUUAAGUUGGAAGUAAAAGCCCCGGGCUCCACCUGGGAACUGCUUUCAAAACUGGCGAGCUAGAGUACGGUAGAGGGUAGUGGAAUUUCCUGUGUAGCGGUGAAAUGCGUAGAUAUAGGAAGGAGCAUCAGUAGCGAAGGCGACUACCUGGACUGAUACUGACACUGAGGUGCGAAAGCGUGGGGAGCAAACAGG